rnacentral:rRNA from 1 species
CCCUUCGAUGUUCUGGGCUGCACGCGCGCUACAAUGAUAAAGUCAACGAGUAUUUUAGCUUGUGAGAGACCACUGGCAAAUCUUAGAAACUUUAUCGUAUUAUGGAUUGCUGAUUGCAAUUAUUCGGCAUGAAACAGGAAUGCCUAGUAUCGGUGAGUCAUCAGCUUGCCGAGAUUACGUCCCUGCCCUUUGUACACACCGCCCGUCGCUCCUACCGAUUGAAACAUACGGUGAAAUUCUCGGAGAGAAGAGUUAGCGUGUUAAGUUCGCUUAGCACGCGCUAGUCUCAAAGUUAAUUAAAUCUCAUGUUUUAGAGGAAGGAGAAGUCGUAACA